rnacentral:rRNA from 1 species
UGAAGUAAGUAAGGGCGUACGGUGAAUGCCUUGGUGCCAACAGGCGAAGAAGGACGCGGCAAGCUGCGAAAAGCCUCGGGAAGCUGCAAGCAAGCGAUGAUCCGGGGAUAUCCGAAUGGGGUAACCUGAUCGAGGCAAUACUCGAUCGUUCAUACCUGAAUACAUAGGGUAUGAAACGCGAAACCCGCUGAAGUGAAACAUCUCAGUAAGCGGAGGAAAAGAAAGAGAAAUCGAUUCCGUAAGUAGUGGCGAGCGAAAGCGGAUGGAGCCCAAACCGAAGGUAUUCCUUCGGGGUUGUAGGACCACGUCAUAUUCGACCAUACUGGAUAGUAGAACAGCCUGGAAAGGCUGGCCGGAGAAGGUGAAAGCCCUGUAGACGAAAUCCAGAGUGGGAAUUAGUGGUAUCCUGAGUAAUACAUCACACGUGGAACGAUGUAUGAACCCGCGCGGACCACCGCGCAAGGCUAAAUACUAGUUGGCGACCGAUAGUGAACAAGUACCGCGAGGGAAAGGUGAAAAGAACCGCUGUGAGCGGAGUGAAAUAGAACCUGAAACCGUAUGUCUACAAAGUGUCAGAGCAGAGCAAUCUGCGAUGGCGUGCCUUUUGUUUAAUGAGUCUGCGAGUCAGUGUUUGUGGCAAGACUAAGGGCUUCCGGCCCGGAGUCGCAGCGAAAGCAAGUCCGAACAGGGCGCAAUAAGUCGCAGGUACUGGACCCGAAGCGGAGGUGACCUACCCUUGGCCAGGUUGAAGCAUGGGUAAAACCAUGUGGAGGACCGAACAGGUGAACGUUGAAAAGUUCUCUGAUGAGCUGAGGGUAGGAGUGAAAGGCUAAUCAAACCCCGUGAUAGCUGGUUCUCUUCGAAAUGCAUUUAGGUGCAGCGUCACGUGCUGAUGCGCGGGGGUAGAGCACUGACAAGGCUAGGGGGCACACCCGCUUACCAAACCUUAUCAAACUCCGAAUACCGUGCAAUGGAACGUGGCAGUGAGACAGUGGGGGAUAAGCUUCAUUGUCGAGAGGGAAACAACCCAGACCAGCAGCUAAGGUGCCUAAAUAACGCUCAGUGGAAAGGAUGUGGGAUUACACAGACAGUGAGGAUGUUGGCUUAGAAGCAGCCACCAUUUAAAAAAUGCGUAAUAGCUUACUCAUCGAGUGAUCCUGCGCCGAAAAUGAUUGGCGAUCAAGCGUUAUACCGAAGCUCUGGACUUUGCCGCAAGGCAGAGUGGUAGAAGAGCGUUGCAUGCGCGUCGAAGGGCGAUGGCGACUGACCCUGGAGCACAUGCAAGUGAGUAUGCAGACAUGAGUAACGUUAAGCCGGGUGAAAUCCCCGGCCGCCGUAAACCCGAGGUUUCCAGGGCAACGUGUUUCGUCCCUGGGUUAGCCGGGACCUAAGCCGAGGCCGAGAGGCGUAGGCGAUGGACAUCAGGUUAAUAAUCCUGAGCUCGCAACCCUUAAACUGGGGGGACGCAUGAGAAAAGAUGACUAGGUUAUUGAAUUCCGAGUUGAGUCUACGGACUCAGCGCAUCAUUGGAUCGAGUGCCAAGAAAAGCCCCAGCGUAUGCUAAGCGACCCGUACCGCAAACCGACACAGGUGGGUGGGUAGAAUAUACCAAGGCGUAAGAGUGAAACCUGGUUAAGGAACUCGGCAAAUUAGCCCCGUAACUUCGGAAGAAGGGGUGCCUGCAGCGAUGCAGGCCGCAGAGAAAUGGCCCAACCGACUGUUUAUCAAAAACACAGCACUCUGCAAAGACGCAAGUCGAAGUAUAGGGUGUGACACGUGACCAAUGCCGAAAGAUUAAGGCAAGGGGUUAGCCGCAAGGCGAAGCUCUAAACCCAAGUCCCGGUGAAUGUCGGCCGUAACUAUAACGGUCCUAAGGUAGCGAAAUUCCUUGUCGGGUAAGUUCCGACCUGCACGAAUCGUGAAACGAGUUGGGCACUGUCUCAACCAGGCGCUCAGUGAAAUUGUAGUGGCGGUGAAGAUGCCGCCUACCCGCAGAAGGACGGAAAGACCCUAUAGACCUUAACUGUAAGCUGUCAUUGUUUCUUCGGUUUUAAUGCUCAGAGUAAGUGGGAGACGCUGAAGACGCCCUUUAGGGGGCGUCCGAGUCAUCAAUGAGACACCACCCUUUGAAACUGGAGGAUCUAACCCUGAGCCGUGAAUCCGGCCAGAGGACCGUGUCAGCCGGUCAGUUUUACUGGGGCGGUAUCCUCCCAAAGAGUAACGGAGGAGCGCGAAGGUGGGCUCAGCCCGGUUGGCAACCGGGUGUCGAGUGCAUGGGCAUAAGCCCGCCUAACUGUGAGACCAACAAGUCGAGCAGAUGCGAAAGCAGGCCCAAGUGAUCCGGCGGUAGAAAGUGGAAUUGCCGUCGCUCAACGGAUAAAAGGUACCUUAGGGAUAACAGGCUGAUCACGCCCAAGAGUUCAUAUCGACGGCGUGGUUUGGCACCUCGAUGUCGGCUCGUCGCAUCCUGGGGCUGGAGCAGGUCCCCAGGG